AGGACCUUGCGCUUUUGGAGCGGCCGAUGUCUGAUUAGCUUGUUGGUGAGGUAAAAGCUCACCAAGGCUUCGAUCAGUAGCUGGUCUGAGAGGACGGCCAGCCACACUGGGACUGAGACACGGCCCAGACUCCUACGGGAGGCAGCAGUGGGGAAUUUUGGACAAUGGGGGCAACCCUGAUCCAGCCAUGCCGCGUGAGUGAAGAAGGCCUUCGGGUUGUAAAGCUCUUUCAGCCGGAACGAAACGGUUACGAUUAAUACCCGUGACUACUGACGGUACCGGAAGAGGAAGCACCGGCUAACUACGUGCCAGCAGCCGCGGUAAUACGUAGGGUGCAAGCGUUAAUCGGAAUUACUGGGCGUAAAGCGUGCGCAGGUGGUCUUGUAAGUCAGAUGUGAAAUCCCCGGGCUUAACCUGGGAACU
rnacentral:rRNA from 1 species